rnacentral:misc_RNA from 1 species
CAAGAAGCCGAAAGGCUACUUAAAACCAUCGCGAACUUAUCCAAGUUGCUUCGGCGGCGCGGCUCCCCUCACGGGGGACCGCAGCCCCCGCCUCUCAGGAGGUAAGGGGCAGCCGCCGGGGGUACGAAACUCUGUAUUAUAGUGGUAUCUCUGAGUAUAAAACAAAUAAGUUA